CAGGAUGAACGCUGGCGGUCUGCUUAACACAUGCAAGUCGAACGGAAUCCUUAGGGAUUUAGUGGCGGACGGGUGAGUAACACGUAAGAACCUGCCUCUAGGACGGGGACAACAGUUGGAAACGACUGCUAAACCCGGAUGAGCCGAAAGGUAAAAGAUUAAUCGCCUAGAGAGGGGCUUGCGUCUGAUUAGCUAGUUGGUGAGGUAAGAGCCCACCAAGGCGACGAUCAGUAGCUGGUCUGAGAGGAUGAUCAGCCACACUGGGACUGAGACACGGCCCAGACUCCUACGGGAGGCAGCAGUGGGGAAUUUUCCGCAAUGGGCGAAAGCCUGACGGAGCAAGACCGCGUGGGGGAGGAAGGUUCUUGGAUUGUCAACCCCUUUUCUCAGGGAAGAACACAAUGACGGUACCUGAGGAAAAAGCAUCGGCUAACUCCGUGCCAGCAGCCGCGGUAAUACGGGGGAUGCAAGCGUUAUCCGGAAUGAUUGGGCGUAAAGAGUCCGUAGGUAGUCAUCCAAGUCUGCUGUUAAAGAGCGAGGCUUAACCUCGUAAAGGCAGUGGAAACUGGAAGACUAGAGUGUAGUAGGGGCAGAGGGAAUUCCUGGUGUAGCGGUGAAAUGCGUAGAGAUCAGGAAGAACACCGGUGGCGAAGGCGCUCUGCUGGGCUAUAACUGACACUGAGGGACGAAAGCUAGGGGAGCGAAUGGGAUUAGAUACCCCAGUAGUCCUAGCGGUAAACGAUGGAAACUAGGUGUGGCCUGUAUCGACCCGGGCCGUGCCGAAGCAAACGCGUUAAGUUUCCCGCCUGGGGAGUACGCACGCAAGUGUGAAACUCAAAGGAAUUGACGGGGGCCCGCACAAGCGGUGGAGUAUGUGGUUUAAUUCGAUGCAACGCGAAGAACCUUACCAGGACUUGACAUCUCUGGAAUCUCCUUGAAAGGGGAGAGUGCCGUAAGGAACCAGAAGACAGGUGCUGCAUGGCUGUCGUCAGCUCGUGUCGUGAGAUGUUGGGUUAAGUCCCGCAACGAGCGCAACCCUCGUCGUUAGUUGCCAUCAUUAAGUUGGGAACUCUAGCGAGACUGCCGGUGACAAACCGGAGGAAGGUGAGGAUGACGUCAAGUCAGCAUGGCCCUUACGUCCUGGGCGACACACGUACUACAAUGCGAGGGACACAGAGCAGCCAACCCGCGAGGGAGAGCGAAUCUCACAAACCCUGGCACAGUUCAGAUUGCAGGCUGCAACUCGCCUGCAUGAAGGAGGAAUCGCUAGUAAUCGCAGGUCAGCAUACUGCGGUGAAUCCGUUCCCGGGCCUUGUACACACCGCCCGUCACACCAUGGAAGUGAGCCACGCCCGAAGUCAUUACUCUAACCCUUUCGGGGGAGGAGGGUGCCGAAGGCGGGGUUGAUGACUGGGGUGAAGUCGUAACAAGGUAGCCGUACCGGAAGG
rnacentral:rRNA from 2 species